GACGAACGCUGGCGGCGUGCCUAACACAUGCAAGUCGAGCGAACAGACCAGGAUCUUGCUCCUCUGUCGUGUGCCGCGCACGGGUGAGUCACAUGUGUAUACCCUCCCUAUCUGACUGGGAUCAUCUCGGGACACCGGCGCUUAUCCCGUAUAAUAUAUUGCUCCGCAUUGUUCAAUAGUGAAAUACGGUUUUUCUGUCUCUACUCGAUGGUUCCGCGCCGCAUUAGCUGGUUGGUAAGUUCACGGCUUAUCAGGGCAACGAUGCGUAGACGACGUGAGAGGGGGGUCGGCCACACUGGAACGGAGACGGGGACCAGACUCCUGCGGGAGGCAGCAGUAGGGAAUCGGACGCAAUGGGCGAGAGCCUUACAGAGCAGCGCGGCGUGAGAGAUGAAGAUGUUCGGAUCGUAAAGCUCUGUUAUGAGGGGAGAACAAAUGUGUAAGUAACUAUGCACGUCUUGACGGUACCUGAUCAGAAAGCCACGGCUAACUACGUG
rnacentral:rRNA from 1 species